CAGCAGCCGCGGGAAUACGUAGGUGGCAAGCGUUGUCCGGAAUUAUUGGGCGUAAAGGGCUCGCAGGCGGUUUCUUAAAUCUGAUGUGAAAGCCCCCGGCUCAACCGGGGAGGGUCAUUGGAAACUGGGAAACUUGAGUGCAGAAGAGGAGAGUGGAAUUCCACGUGUAGCGGUGAAAUGCGUAGAGAUGUGGAGGAACACCAGUGGCGAAGGCGACUCUCUGGUCUGUAACUGACGCUGAGGAGCGAAAGCGUGGGGAGCGAACAGGAUUAGAUACCCCUGUAGUCCCUGUCUCUUAUAA
rnacentral:rRNA from 1 species